CUGGCGGCAGGCCUAACACAUGCAAGUCGAGCGCACUCUUCGGAGUGAGCGGCGGACGGGUUAGUAACGCGUGGGAAUAUACCCAGUUCUAAGGAAUAGCCACUGGAAACGGUGAGUAAUACCUUAUACGCCCUUCGGGGGAAAGAUUUAUCGGAAUUGGAUUAGCCCGCGUUAGAUUAGAUAGUUGGUGGGGUAAUGGCCUACCAAGUCUACGAUCUAUAGCUGGUUUGAGAGGAUGAUCAGCAACACUGGGACUGGGACACGGCCCAGACUCCUACGGGAGGCAGCAGUGGGGAAUCUUAGACAAUGGGCGAAAGCCUGAUCUAGCCAUGCCGCGUGAGUGAUGAAGGCCCUAGGGUCGUAAAGCUCUUUCAACUGUGAAGAUAAUGACGGUAGCAGUAGAAGAAACCCCGGCUAACUCCGUGCCAGCAGCCGCGGUAAUACGGAGGGGGUUAGCGUUGUUCGGAAUUACUGGGCGUAAAGCGCACGUAGGCGGAUUAGUAAGUUAGAGGUGAAAUCCCAGGGCUCAACCCUGGAACUGCCUUUAAUACUGCUAGUCUUGAGUUCGAGAGAGGUGAGUGGAAUUCCAAGUGUAGAGGUGAAAUUCGUAGAUAUUUGGAGGAACACCAGUGGCGAAGGCGGCUCACUGGCUCGAUACUGACGCUGAAGUACGAAAGUGUGGGGAGCAAACAGG
rnacentral:rRNA from 1 species